UGUUGUGAAUGAGGAAUGGUCA
rnacentral:siRNA from 1 species